AAAAGAUAAAUAAUAUGGUAUAUAUUCAAGUCACUGCAGAUGAAUUUUGGCACCUUGUAGUUAUCUAACUAGUUUCAGCUUGUGUCAUUUUCAUAUGAACAGUUUUGGAAAAAAUGAAAGUAACAUCAAAUCUUUGGCUAUAGGCAUAAAUAAUGGUGCUGCCCCUAUAUUACCUUAUUCUUACAAAAAAUACAACCAGGAUUAUAAAAAUGAGUUUUUAGCUCAAGUAUAUCCACUUGAUUGAGAAGACUGAUAACAAGACUGCUACAUGUUAGUAAAUAUAAACUAAUAAUAAAAGAUAAGAUUUAAAAGAUAAGUGUUCAUAUACAGAGAAAUGGUUGCAGAAUCUUCAUUCAACUCUAUCAUGGCAUCUUUAUUGUAUUAUCAUAUACAUUUAUUUCCAGGGGACCCUGGCUAUUUAGCGUACUCCCUACAUUUUGAAGAAAGGUAUGUGUUCAAACUGUUCAAUGUGUCUUCUUGCUCCCUGUGUUGAGUGGUAAGGAACUAAGAGAGUGAAAACUUUAUCAUUUGUUCAUCAGGGUUUCUAAUGGUAGUGCUACUAUUUGGAAGGUAGUACCUUCCAUUGUAAAUUAUUUGAAGAUGUUUUAAUAAAAUUUCAUGUGAUAUUAAUUGCAUGACACUUGACAGCACAAAGUGUUUGUAUUCUGAACUGAACCUUGUUUCAAUGAUCCACCAGCAAAUACCUCUGCAACCCUGGGACCAUGUUCCUGUUAAAUACUGGAAGUCUACACCUUCCUUUUUGCUUGUUUUGAGAAACUAGCAGUGUGAGUACACAGCAUACAGCAGGCCAAAACCCAGCAAACCCUGUCUUCAGAUAUUGGCUUAUAUGAACUGGCUGGAAGUAUUGGAAGUAUGACAUAAGAACACGUGGGCAUCUGACAUCUGGUUUUGCUGUGUACAAGUUUGUGUGUGUGUUUGUCUGUGGUGGUGCAGGUGCCAAGACAACCCUGUUGCAAUUUUGUUUGUACUGCCUAUAGGUUUACUUUGGAGUAAAUUAUCCCCAGGUUCACACUUGAAGUUUCCCUGAGAGAAAACUAGCUGUGACAGCUCAAAAGAGAGCCCAGGAGCAAACUGACAUACAAGCAGUGUGAACAGUCAAUGAACUGCAGAGUGAAAUGAAAUGGAGUGCUAAGUUGUUUGACAGCAUGCAUAGGUGACUUAGUUCACACGUACCUUGUCAACUGUUUCUGAAUGGCACUGAUGUCCUGAGGAGACAUACCCUGAAACACCAUUCUCAUAUCUUGAGUUACCUCUGCAAAGAUUCUGGCACAAAGACAUGUAAACCAUUUUCUUUUGCUUUUGAAGACAUUUUGAUGUCAAUAUCUUUAACUUGUCAUACAUUUAUUCACAGAAUAAAACAGAAUGGUUAGGGCUGUAAGGGACAUCUCUUGACUGUUCUAUUUUCAAUGCAUUUCUGAUACAACACCGAAAAAUUAAAUUACUAUUUUAUUUUGUUAUAAACAAAUAUUUCUACAACAAGGCCUUAUCUUCAAGGACUGCUCUUCAUAUGUGUGUGAUAUAAAAAAUUUCAAAGUUACUCUUGAUAAUUUCUAUUAUCUCUAUUCUAUUUUAAAUAUGUCUGUUAAUAAUUUUUCACUUUAACCAAAAUAUCCCACUGCGGUCUAAUUUUACCCAGCUACUAGAAAACUGUAUUUCUUUCUCUACAUUUACCUUCUCUAAAUUUCUGUGAGAUAUUUUACUUCAGUAAAAAAAAUAAUAAAAUCCAGUAAAAGUAGUAGAUAAUAUUCAUCUAGUAGAUAAUUCAUCUUGUAUUGUCUAGUCUGUAACUGUCUUUUAAACAGAUUCAUUUUCUUGGUUCACUCUUGUCCUGGUUUCAGUUAGAACCAUGACAACUCUGUAGACAUCAGACAGAAAAAAUAAAACUCAGGGAGCUUUUGAGAACUUGCUUUCUUUCCUUUUUUAAUUUCUAUAACCAGGAACAAACAAACAAACAAACAAAAAACACAACAAAACAAACAAACCCCACAACACCUGCAUAUCUAUAACAAAUUUGAUUUGAAGCAUUCUCUUGUUUUGGAAAGGCCUGACAUUUCAAACUCUGCUGUUUAAAAUACUACUGGAUGAACAUUGUCUAGCAGUAGAAUAUAGACUUUCAGCUGCUUGAAUAAAGUAUUAUAGGUAGCGAGAAUCACAUUGAACGGUUAAAAUGAGCUUUAAGCAGAAGUUAAACUCCUAAACUCAAAACAGCAGUUCAGAAAGCCACUAUUAGCACUACUUCACAAUCUUUCAGACUAUGAAAUUUGAGGUGAUCCUCAGUCUCUGGGACACUGCUUGAGGAGUGGGAGGAUUUUGUCCAGAACAGUCAGGAGAGAGUCUAACCCCUAAAUUUCCAAAGUUUCCAAAUUUCCAAUUCCCUUUCUUCAUACAUGUUUUUUGUUUCAGUGUCUUUCUGAUAUGAAAUGAACAAACUCCAAAUUCAGACUGUACCCCAUGUACUUUGUCUACUACACUACAGAAAUUGCAUGCUCUUCUUCAGGCCUGUGAACUUCUGCAUAUAUGACUGAACUGUAUCUGAACUUCAAUAGGAAGGGUAGAUCUGAGAAGCUGAUUUUAAUAUCUCCAGCCUACUCCCUGCUGAAUGAUUUGACUUACAUGAAGAAAUUGUUACAGAUGUCAUGUUUUGAGGAUGGCUGAUCCUGUGCUUGGAAGCCAGAUGGAAAGUACUAACAUUUGGGACAGUCUUACCUGAUUUAAACCUCAGGUAAAAAUAAAUAUAUCCAGGCUGGAUGAAGACAAUUCCAUCAAUAUUAAUCAAAUCAAGAUAAUGAAUCUUUCCAUGAGUUGGACUCAAUGACCCUUGUGGGUCUCUUCCAACGUGGGAUAUUCUAUGAUUUUAUUGAGUUUCCACAUCCUUAUUGAUGUUGCCUCACUCAAUACUGUUUUCAAUUACAUGAAUGCUGGCUAUGUUUUCCAAAGGAUUCCUGUCUUGUUCAUUGCAGAGGAUUGUUCAAUAUAUGGCCCAUGUCUUAUUCAGUUCACACUAGCAAAAUUCUGCUGUGAACAGCUCAUGCCAAACAGGUGAAACAGCAGAGCGAACACCAAGGACAGAGACGGAGGAGGAGGAAGUACUCCAGGCACUCCAGAUGUGCACACUGGAGCCUGUGCAGGACCCCAUGCUGGAGUAUGUGAAUAUUUCCUGAAGAAAAUGUGGCCUGUGGAGAGCAGGGGAAAAGCAUGAGUGGGAAGGACAGGCAGAGAGAAACUGUUAUACACUGACCAUAACCCCUUGUCACUGUGCACCACUCAGAGGUGUGAUACAGCGUGCCCCACCUGGUGCCUGGUGUGAAUGAGAUGUCUAGACUGUGAGAGUGGGGAGGAAAGAUGUUUUUAUGUUCUUGUUUCUCGCUACCCAAAUCUAUUUUAAUUAGCGAUAAAUUAAAUUAAUUUUUCCCAAGUCAAAUUUGUUUUUCCUGAGAUGGUAAUUGGUAAGCAAGCUCCCUGACUUUGUCUCAAUCCAUCAGGUUUUUCAUCCUAUAUUCUCCCCCUGUCCUCUUGAGGAUGGACAGUGAGCAAGCAGCCAGGUGGCUCACCUCAGAACACUGUCUUCAGUAUCUCAGUCUUUCUUUGUGGAAAUAUCCUUCCUCAUUCUCUCUCAUACCUUCUGCUUAUUUGUUGAGAACUUCUGCAUCAGUAAUCAGAAAAGAAGAGCAAGGAGUACCCCAUAUGAAAAUCACUCAGGAGACCAAUUGUCUGAAGUCAGCAGGGGUUGAGCAAAGCAUAAAUAACAAUUUGUUAAUCCUUAAUCCUUUCUUCCCCUCCCCUCCCUCAAACUCCUGCCAUAGUGGGUGUGUUCUGCCUCUCAACUAACGCUGCACAACAAGGCAGCAUCAGUUAACCUUUUCAGGCAUGCUGCAGCAUUUGCAAAUUUUGUAAAAUAUUGUUCCCAGCGCAGUCCUGUGUAUCCUCAUGUCCUGGUUUCAGUUAGCACAGAAUUAAUUUUCUUCCUAGUAGCUGGUGGAAUGCUGUGUUUUGGCUUAGGAUGAGAAGAGUGCUGAUAACACCCCGAUGCUUUAAUUGUUGCAGAGCAGUGCU